rnacentral:rRNA from 1 species
GAUGAACGCUGGCGGUCUGCUUAACACAUGCAAGUCGAACGGAAGUAGCAAUACUUUAGUUGCGGACGGGGGAGUAACACGUAAGAAUCUGCCUCCAGGACGGGCAAAACAGUGGGAAACGACUGCUAAUGCCGGCUGAGACGAAAGGUAAAAAGAAAGUCGCGUGGAGAUGAGCUUGCGGCUGAUUAGCUAGUUGGUAGGGUGAAAGCCUACCAAGGCGACGAUCAGUAGCUGGUCUGAGAGGAUGAGCAGCCACACUGGGACUGAGAGACGGCGCAGAGUCCUACAGGAGGCAGCAGUGGGGAAUUUUCCGCAAUGGGCGAAAGCCUGACGGAGCAAGACCGCGUGGGGGAGGAAGGUUCUUGGAUUGUCAACCCCUUUUCUCAGGGAAGAAGAUCUGACGGUACCUGAGGAAUCAGCAUCGGCUAACUCCGUGCCAGCAGCCGCGGUAAAAC